AGCCAGUCUUGGUGCUCUGUGUCCACCUGGUUCUUGUCCCGGACAGUCUCUGCUUGCCCUUGGCCACAUGACCUGCCCUGUUCACUUCUCACCUGCCUUGCUGGGGACCCUAG
rfam:Tupaia chinensis contig96736, whole genome shotgun sequence.